UAGUAACUGCGAGUGAAGCGGGAAAAGCUCAAAUUUUGAAUCUGACGAUCUUCUUGGUCGUCCGAGUUGUAAUCUAGAGAAGCGUCUUCCGCGCUGGACCGUGUACAAGUCUCCUGGAAGGGAGCGUCAUAGAGGGUGAGAAUCCCGUCUCUGACACGGACUGCCAGUGCUAUGUGAUGCGCUCUCGACGAGUCGAGUUGUUUGGGAAUGCAGCUCAAAACGGGUGGUAAAUUCCAUCUAAAGCUAAAUACAGGCGAGAGACCGAUAGCGAACAAGUACCGUGAGGGAAAGAUGAAAAGAACUUUGGAAAGAGAGUUAAACAGUACGUGAAAUUGCUGAAAGGGAAACGCUUGAUGUCAGUCGCGUCCGCCAGGGAUCAACCUUGCUUCUUCGCUGGGUGCAUUUCUUGGUCGGACGGGUCAGCAUCGGUUUCGAUCGUCGUAGAAUGGUCGAGGGAACGUGGCACCUCUAGGGGUGUGUUAUAGCCCUUGAUCGUAUGCGUCGGUGGGGACCGAGGAACUCGGCACGACCCUCGGGUUUGUGUCUAGGAUGCUGGCAUAAUGGCCUUAAGCGACCCGUCUUGAAACACGGACCAAGGAGUCUAACAUGCCUGCGAGUGUUUGGGUGGCAAACUCGAGCGCGCAACGAAAGUGAAAGUCGAGAUCUCUGUCAUGGAGAGCACCGACGCCCGGACCAGAGUCUUUGACGAAGGAUCUGCGGUAGAGCAUGCAUGUUGGGACCCGAAAGAUGGUGAACUAUGCCUGAAUAGGGUGAAGCCAGAGGAAACUCUGGUGGAGGCUCGUAGCGAUUCUGACGUGCAAAUCGAUCGUCGAAUUUGGGUAUAGGG
rnacentral:rRNA from 1 species